AUACUCGAUUAGACUGCAUUUUGCCUUGCUUUUCCUUCUCCCUUUCUCUCUCUUUCUUUCUUUCUUUCUUUCUUUCUUUCUUUCUUUCUUUCUUUCUUUCUUUCUUUCUUUCUUUCUUUCUUUUUCUUUCUCUCUCUCUCUCUCUUUCUUUCUUUCCUUUCUUUUCUUUCUUUCCUCUUUCUCUUUCCUUCUUUCUUUUUUUCUUCUUUCUUUCCUUCCUUCCUUCCAUCUUUCUUUUCUUUCUUUCCAUUUUUUUUUUCCUCCAGAAGAAUGGAAACAGUAUUCUUUUCCGAUCAGUUCAGUAAUACAAUGUCCUUCAGUGUCCAUAUGAGCAUUUCAGUGGAGAAGAAAAGAAACUUUGCUACCUGGGAACUGAAGACUACUUAGUGAAGAUCCCGGUGUUACACAUCCAAUCGUUCACCUCCUUCCAAGACUAUGACAUUCCAGGAAACCUUCACUGCUAAGAGGAACUAAGAUCUAGAGUAUCUCCUCGAGGAAGUACAACUGACUUGUCUUUGGACAAAAUUGAGAAGAACUCAUAAACUUGGCUUCCUCGCUUCUGCUCCUCAGACGCGCGUGGAUGAUUUGAAGAUAUUAGCCUAACAAGAUGGAAGCAGGUUUAAAAUUUUACAUAAGAAGUUACCUUUUUCAGUUGUGUUGAUGUUCCUUUCAGCUGGUCCUAUAGUACCCCUCCUCAGGAAUGUCUCCCCAGUGCAAGGACAAAGACUGAAGAGACUGCUAUAUUGAUGGACUCUCAAGCCAACUAUGAAGUUGAAACAAAGAAAGUGAUCACCUGAAGACACCUCCUCUGCUAAGAAACACCCCCAAAUUGUGCAGCUUCUGCCACUAGAACUCUCAGAACAAGAGACAAUCUUUUCAAGAAACAGAAAAACUCAAUAAUGACAUCUAGAUUUUCAUGAGCCAAGAACUUUCCCUUCCUCAUGUGUAUUCCUCUGUUUGUACUUAAAUUCAUGUGACAUUCAUUUUUUUCCUAGUAUGGAUAUGCUUAUUAAUGCACUUGUUUCAAAAUCCCAAAUUGCACAAAUGUGUUAAUAUUUUAAGAAACAAAAUGAAUCCUACAAGGAGAAUGAUUUUUAGCCACACAUAGGGUUGGAUCUUGAGAGUGACCUACAGAAUAAAAGUACUUUUAAAAUAAAGUAGUCAGAGGCUAUUCAAAGGGUAAAAUAAUCAUAGUACCACAUUGGUCCACUUGACACUAACCAAUCGAUCAUUUUUUUUUAAUCAAGAAAGCUAGAUUCUAUCAGAUAAAAUCACUGCUUCUAAAGAGUUUAAAUCUAGUUAGAAAAAGUUAUAGAAAUGUUUGCAAAGAUAAGUAACAGAUAGAGUCAGUAGAGGAUAAGAUCAAAAACAAAACCAAGCAAAAGAUGAGUUCAGGGGAGUUUGCCAUCAAGUUGGCAAAACUGACUUACUUAGGGAAGAAAGUUAUAAAACAGGAAAAUAUGAGAUGAACCUUGAGUGAUGUGGAAGAUUUAGAUAAAUGGAAAGGAAGGAGAAAAUGGAGUUCUUUAGGUGGUUGUAAUUGGAGGAGGAAAUGAAUACACACAUCUUGUUGACUUAAACCCAGACAUUCAGCAGCUCUCUAUACAUAUCUGGAAAAGACUGCACAGUCACCUCCUGUCUCUCACCCCAGGUAUUACUUAGAAUUAUUAUCAUAUUUCCCUUCCUUUAAAGUAAGUAAGGGUGAUUGGUGACAAUAUGGAGAACUAUGAUUUUUCCAUUAACCUAAUAAUAAUUGGUAUUUAUUGAGUUCUGUUAAGCAUUUUACAUAUUAACUCACUUAAGCCUUUCAACAGCCUUGCAAAAUAGGUAUUAUUAUCCCCAUUUUACAGGCAAGAAAACUGAGGUUUAAGUAACUUGCCGAAGUGCCAUAUACAGGGCUCACAUUCAGUAUUGCAGUUGCAAAGCUCAUGAUCUAUAGUGCCAAGUUGCAAUAUUGUAGUCAAUGUCACAAUUAUUACCCCUUUUUAUAUUCCUUGAUAUUUUUCCAUGGCAAACAAUUAGCUAUUUCAUUUAAUAA
ensembl:lncRNA MIR100HG mir-100-let-7a-2-mir-125b-1 cluster host gene